rnacentral:rRNA from 1 species
UACGUAGGGGGCAAGCGUUAUCCGGAUUUACUGGGUGUAAAGGGAGCGUAGACGGCGAUGCAAGUCUGAAGUGAAAGCCCGGGGCUCAACUCCGGGACUGCUUUGGAAACUGUAUGGCUGGAGUGCCGGAGAGGCAAGCGGAAUUCCUAGUGUAGCGGUGAAAUGCGUAGAUAUUAGGAAGAACACCAGUGGCGAAGGCGGCUUGCUGGACAGUAACUGACGUUGAGGCUCGAAAGCGUGGGGAGCAAGCAGG